CACCAAUACGAUUCAAUUCAAUUUAUUCAAAUUAAAUCUUUACAAAUACAAAUACAUCCAUUUACACAAAUAUCUCACAACUGAUCUCCUCUUAUCUCUCUCACCCUCACAGCUAGCCAAACCAGCCCUCACACUCUCUCCUUAGAUCUUUUCACACACACUCUCUCUAUUCUUUCUCAUGUUGAUCCUCUCCCAUGGCCUGCCUCUGGUCUUUCCACUGGAUGCAUAUGGAGCACACAAAGCACAACACAGCAGCUCCCCUCUCUGCUCCUCUCUUCCGCACAAAACAAGCACCCUCCUCCACACACAUACAUGCAUACAUACACACUAGAGCGCACACACAGGCAUCACAACCAUGGCACAGCAACAACACCAUCACCGCUCGCCGCCGGCCUCUGCUGCUCCUUCGUGCCGCCACCGAAGCCGCUCGGCCGCUCGCCACUCCGCGCCGCCGGACCAAGCACCAUCCAGCCGUGCUGCGCCCAGUCACGCUUCAUCGCCUGUGCGUCGUGCCGCGCUCAGGCCCGCGCCGUCGUGUCGUCCCGCACCGACCCAACCGCGCCCCUCCACUGGCUCAAAGUCGAGGUUCUAAGCUAGAACGUGAGGAAGGAACUGAAGGCAAGAUCCAGCGAUGAAGAAGAACCCCGGGAAACUCAAGAGACAAGACCAAUCGUGAAAUGACCCUUCAGGAAGCCAAUUUGUUGAGUUGGAGAUCAGCCUUAACCCAGUUGAAGUCAAAGAGAAGAAGUCUAAGGUUGCGUUCGCACUCGAGGUCCCUGUGGCAUUGGGUUGCAUCAUCGUUUCGCUCCACUGUGCUAUAGGCUCUUCUGCCUGGCUGGUCUGAUGUGGAUUCUUGUCCACCAGACCAUCUUUUUAUUUUUCAGGUAUUUUAUUUUGCUUUGUUUUAUUCAAAGUAUGUAUUUGAUAUCAUUUUGUUGAAUUAUGUGCGUAUCAGCUACUUGAUCCAGGGACUGAUACAGGAGGCACAGGGGAACUCAGGUUCGGGGUCCUAACAUUGUCGUUGUCAUCUGCCAUGAAGUAAAGACUAGUGAAGUCCUUGUUCUCUUGUUUCUCAAGGGUGGUUCCUCCUCCUUCGAGCUCUCCUCCUAGCUUGAGGAAGUGUUGAUAUCGCUGAGCACCACCACAAAAGCUCGAGAUGCUGCCUUGACCGCCUUCUUGGCCAACUUUCCAUGCUCGCUGGUCAUAAGUCUUGGCGGCGACCAAAUUGAGGUUGCAAAGGGCCAGGUGCAUCCAAAGGUCCAGGUGUUAUAUACAGUCUCGAUAUGCCCUGGUUAUGUCGUGAUAUUCAUGGAUUUUUUACAUGCCAAUACCAUGGACACUGGUUUGUGAGUACCCCCUAAUAAUGAGAUUCAAAAUCUAGAUCAAGCUCGUUUUCAAAGGAUCCAAUGAAAGAAAGGGGAAUCUUGGUGCACAACGAACUAUCUAGGAGCGAUCUGCUUGGACAUUCAAGUGCACCGAGUUUCCUACCCCACCUCAGCCUGGAGAUGAGCCCACUCCACCAUCUCUAUCUAGGAAACUUGAGGGUAGCCUAGAGAAGAAGAAGAAGAAGAAGUCCAAGCCAGGGUCCAAUAAGCAGCUGCUGAAGAAGUCCAAGUCCUCUGGUAAGGUCUCAAGCGCCGGGAAGUGCGAGGUAGGAGCAAUUUGGACUAAGAAUAAACCAAAAUUCUAGCUUGGGAAGCCCUUGCCGAUGGCAGAUCCACUGUGAAGGGUGGGACAACCUUGUGUUGAGUUGCGUAAUUACUACCUGCAAGGUUGUAAAGCAAAGAAGAGUUCUGUUGUCGUCCAGUACCAAAAUCGUCACUUCUUGAAUGGAGACGACUACUUCUUCAUGGGCUUCAAUGACUUAUACGAUCUCUUCAACCUUGAUGGUUUAGAUAUAGGGUUACUACGAUGCUUUACAUUACACUUGGUGCAAUAAACGAGGAAGAAGGAGCCCUUCAGAUUCAAUGACCCUCAAAUUAUGACAAUUUCUGUGAUGAAAAAAGAUAGGGAAUCUGUCUGGGAUAUGUGGCUAGGGCAAUGAGCCACUUUUCAAAGAAGGACUACCUAAUGGCUGCUAACAACACAGGUAGCCAUUGGAUCUUACUUGCCAUUACUCCCAAGUAGAACUUAAUCUGGUACCUCGAUUCAACAAGACUAGUAGUAGGACGUAACAGUGAAUUGGGAGUACGUGACUAUACUUGGUCAAACAAAUCCUCAACGAGUAAGUUCUUCAUGGCCUAGGUUACAUAUUGAACUUCUCAAACUUUUUUCCAAAUGUUGACUAAUGGAUCACUCUUUGCAUGUAGGGCUUUUGACAUUUAUAUGCGUUGUGAUCCAAAUGAGCCCCGUAUACUGACACAUAAGACCAUCUUCAUGGUAAGUGCCAACAGACAAAUUUGUAAAUACUCUACUACUACAUCAUUUGCUUUCGAAUUGACGGUUUCUUUUCUCUCCAGUGCCACCAACAACCACCGGGUAAUACCUACGGCUUCUACGUUGCGCGUCAUAUGCUGCUAGCCAUGGCAGCAAAGGAUAUGAAAUCCCUAGAUGUAAGAUAAUGCAUAUAGUCUUUUCAUAACUACUUUCAUUUAUUUAAUAUCCGAUAAUAAAAUGAUUUUUCUCAAGUUAAUUGCAUACUUUUCCAUUACUAUUUUUAUUUAGCAAGAAUUCAGCAUACCGGACGAUAACAUCGAGAAGUAUGCACUCUUCAACAUUCGAGGACUGAUCACCUCGUUUAUAAUGACAGAAGUCAUCUCUUCGAAAGGUGAGUUCUAUUGUAGGGAGGUGGCACACUAAUGUGUAAUUUGUGGUUGCCCUUUCGACUUAUGUAAUUUCUAGUUAUCUCGAUGUACACUUGCGACUUAUGUACAUUAUUAUUUAAACUUGAGUGAUCUUGAUGUGUUAUCUGAUGUCGAUAUGGUAGAUAUACUACUGUGAUAUGUUUGAUAUGUUACCUGAUAUCGAUGUGGUCGAUAUGAUGCAUAUAUACAUUUCUUGGUGUGAUAUGUUUGCUAGAGAAGACGGCUGCCAAAUCCUGAUUUUGCUUCAGGAUGCAGCCAGAAAACAGGUACAGCUACUGCCAUUGCCGGACCACUUCUGCCUCCACGACGACAUCGUCUCCAAGACCUUUCAAGUGAACAAGAGCAAGAACUAGCUCCAAUGUUAAUUCUGUCCCCAGUUCUUCAGGUGCCAAUAGUAUUGGAUUAAUCACU